rnacentral:rRNA from 1 species
UAGCAAUACGAAGGAAAAUUUAGUGGCGAACGGGUGCUUAACACGUGGGCAACCUGCCAGGAAGUGGGGGAUAGCUCGCCGAAAGGCGAAUUAAUACCGCAUGUGAUUAGAGAGGACAUCCUUUCGAAAUUAAAGUCGGGGCAACCUGACGCUUUUUGUGGGGCCCGCGGCCUAUCAGCUAGUUGGUGGGGUAACGGCUCACCAAGGCGUUGACGGGUAGCUGGUCUGAGAGGACGACCAGCCACACUGGGACUGAGACACGGCCCAGACACCUACGGGUGGCAGCAGUCGAGAAUUUUUGACAAUGGGGGAAACCCUGAUCGAGCGACGCCGCGUGGAGGAUGAAGGUCUUCGGAUUGUAAACUCCUGUCAUUGGGGAACAAUGCGCAAAUAUUAACUGUAUUUGUGUUGAUAGUACCCGAAGAGGAAGAGACGGCUAACUCUGUGCCAGCAGCCGCGGUAAUACAGAGGUCUCAAGCGUUGUUCGGAUUCAUUGGGCGUAAAGGGUGCGUAGGCGGCGCGGUAAGUCGGGUGUGAAAUCUCGGAGCUUAACUUCGAAACUGCAUUCGAUACUGCCGUGCUUGAGGACUGGAGAGGAGACUGGAAUUCACGGUGUAGC